rnacentral:tRNA from 1 species
GGACGCGUAGCUCAGCGGGAGAGCACCUCGUUCACACCGAGGGGGUCACAGGUUCAAUCCCUGUCACAUCCACCA